AUGACUGGGGUGAAGUCGUAACAAGGUAACCGUAGGGGAACCUGCGGUUGGAUCACCUCCUUAUCUUAAAGAAGC
rnacentral:rRNA from 1 species